rnacentral:rRNA from 1 species
GACGAACCGUGCGAACGUUGUUCGGAAUCACUGGGCUUAAAGGGCGCGUAGGCGGCUCGCGAGGUCGGGGGUGAAAUCCCACGGCUUAACCGUGGAAGGGCCUCCGAUACCGGCGGGUUGGAGGAAGGUAGGGGUGCGCGGAACUUCUGGUGGAGCGGUGAAAUGCGUUGAUAUCAGAAGGAACGCCGGCGGCGAAAGCGGCGCACUGGACCUUUUCUGACGCUGAGGCGCGAAAGCCAGGGGAGCGAACGGG